rnacentral:rRNA from 1 species
UACGUAGGUGGCGAGCGUUAUCCGGAAUCAUUGGGUUUAAAGGGUCCGUAGGCGGUUUGGUAAGUCAGUGGUGAAAGCCCAUCGCUCAACGGUGGAACGGCCAUUGAUACUGCCAGACUUGAAUUAUUAGGAAGUAACUAGAGUAUGUAGUGUAGCGGUGAAAUGCUUAGAGAUUACAUGGAAUACCAAUUGCGAAGGCAGGUUACUACUAAUGGAUUGACGCUGAUGGACGAAAGCGUGGGUAGCGAACAGG